UUGGCCCGCGGGCCGUGAGUCUGAGACCCCUGGUCUAUAAGUUUCUUUUAGGAAAAAGAGUUCUUUUAAGAGACUAGUUACGGCAAAUCCUCCAAUCAUCAAUAAACACACACACACACACACACACACACACACACACACACACACACACACACACACACACACACACACACACACAAUCUGUACUGCAUUAGCACAUGUAUUUUAACACAAUAAGACACUAACUUAACAUUCUAUUAAUAUAGUGGAUAGUGCAGAAAAACAAAACAAAAGAAGAGUCCCUGCACAGCCUCCGUUGGAUAGAUUGCAGCAGCUUAUAUCCACGUAGAUCAGUUCAAGGGAAAAAAACAGCCAGGACAUUCAGUGGACAGAACGGUACAGCGCUAGCUUCACCUCGCUGUAGGCCUUGAAUGGGACAAACUCAUUAUGAUUCAAAUGUAUGGGGAACGUCUCAGAACGUCUCUCGCUUCACGCAGAGAAAGAUGUGCCGUGCGCUGUGUCUGUGAGGCGUUUGCGGGUGCAUGGGAAAGUAGGGUACUAGGCAACUACAUAAUCACCUGGGUUACACUCUCCCCCUCUAAAUCAAGAGUCGCUUCAUGCAUUUGAGUUAUGCUGGGAGUACAGUUGGUAGAAGAGCUGUGUCUAAUAGUGCAGCAACCAAGGUCGGGAAGAAGAAAUUGAUUGCCAAAUUCAGAGCCUCUCCCAAUUCAUCAAACAUGAACUUGUGAGGCUGGCGCCUCUCCCUAGUGGAGCGCCUAAGGCUCACUGGUUCAGUUACUGUUGUCACAUUGUUGACUUCAUCCUCAACCUUUUCAGUACAGUCAUUCACAGUUUGCACAGUUCUGGAAUGUCAACAUAAUCAGAAGACCUACAGUGCAGGUGUGAAGUUUCAUAAACCCUUCUCAACCUAGGGACGUUAGGCUAGGUUUUUACUGUCAGGUUUCUGUGUUCACUUCCUGUUUUAUUGUCAUAGUCCCGGUUUCCAGUAUCAUUCUGUUAACGCUAGCAUUACUUCCGGUUAUCAUUACACGCACCUGUCUUGCAUUUACCAUUACUUACCAGGAUAUUUAACCACCACCUGUUACCGCAGUAAUCCGCCAGAUCGUUGAAUCAAUGUCUUCACGUUCCAGCAGUAUCUCGUUCAGCUUAUCCCGUCUCCGACCCAGUUCUGUAUUCCUGACCACCGAUUCUCGUCUGAUCCUGACUGGUAUAGUAAUGUCCUGGUUUCUGUUGCUGAACCCUGCCUGUUACCGGACCUGUCUAAGCCUGCUGAUUCAAACACUGAAAUCUGAGCCUUCUGGUAUUGACCCACGCCGUUAUCGGAACCGGUUACGUCUGCUCCCUCAGUGCCUCAAUCCUGUGUUUACCCGUGUAUUACCUGGACUGUCUGUGACUCCGAGUUCUGUAUUAAACCCUUGAAUUUUACCAUAUGUCUGCUGUCUCAUCGCUGUGUAUGUGGGUCCAAUCUCUGCCGAAGCCUGACAUUUACUCUCCUUGGCUUUUCCUUUAGUGCAGUGUGUUCAAUUCAUUUAAAUUCAAUUCAGUUUUAUUUAUAUAGCGCCAAAUCACAACAAGGCACUUUACAAAGUAAGGUUUAAGACCUUACACAACUAAACCCAACAGAUCCCACAUACAGCAAACCUUUAAUUUGACAGCAACAGUGGAGAGAAAAAACUACCUCGCUAACAAGGAAGAAACCUCCAGCAGAACCAGGCUGGAUGUGGGCGGCCAUCUGCCUCGACCGGUUGGGGUGAGGGGAUAGAGAGAGAGAAAAGCACAGCAACAAUAAGCAACAACAAAGCACAGGCAGGAUGGUUGGAUCCGCAGCUGCCCAUCCCAGACAUAUAGCUCUGAGUCCGGUGAUACCGGUAGGUGAGGACAGAGUGGAGAAAAGAGAGAGAGAGAGAGAGAGAGAGAGAGAGAGAGAGAUGCACAUGCAAAAUUCACUUUUUGGACAUUCUGGUAUGUUUAUCUGACUCCCUGGGUCACAUUAAGACAUUCCUGGUGUGUUAGAAGUACGCCCCCUAAUUAUUUCACAUUUUUGAGAGUUUAUCCAAUCCGGUUCAAGAACCAUCGUUUUAAAUUUGGCGGCCUCGAUACGUCUGCAUUUGCGCUGACCAAUCACAGAACCAGCUUUGCGCCCCCCAGACAAACCUGGACCCCUAAAUGUACCUGAAACAUUUUGUUUCAGUCACUCACUCCAGUCACAGACAAAAGAAGAAGUCACUCACUGCGCAGUCUACCAUAGGAGGUGGCGCUACUGCACCUUUCAGUUGGUUGCCACCCGCCAUUUAAAAGACAAAAGAAGAAGUCACUCAGGUUGAAGAAGCGCCCACUUGCUGCUUCCCCAAACGUAAGUACAUGCUUGAUACUUAUUUGAUGUAUGUACUCCAGACGUUUCUCUGUUUAUAAUGUAGCUUCCCUCCUGUGUAAGGAAUGCUAAUUGCUAGAACCGUUGCGUUGCCACGCAAUUUGGAUGAGUCCAAGCCUCUCCAGCAUUUGUCCGGUUCGAAUCGUGUGAUAUAUGGUACUGAGGUCAUUCACUCAGCUCACAUUAUAGCUGCUAGCGCGUUAGCGGCUAGCGCUAGUAAGUUGUGAGAGUCAGCUGUGUUUCUAAUUACUACCGAGCCUGUCGUGUGUAUGAUGUAGCCCGAGUAGACCCGUGAAUUUGGGUUAUUGCAAGUUCUAUCUAAGUCUAACAUGUGUUGUUGCUUAUCUAGUCAGCUACUUUAGCUGUAAACGUGACAUGUUUUUUAUACAGGCUGACGCAUGCCAGCUACCGAAACGCGAGGAGGUUGCUUCUCAAACUGACACGCGCCUACCUUGUAGAAGAGUAGAAGAAUGCUCACCUCAGGAGCAAAGAGUGGUUUCAAGGAAAACAGCUGCAUCCUCCAUCUGUACAGCAGCUGCACUGCUUCCGAUGUCUUCCAACACGUGAAGACAAAAAAGAUCCUCACAUCUCCUCAGCCAACUGCUCAUGACUGUACCUGUUCCACUCCAGAAACUAUGCUUUCAACAUAACUAUUAAUCCUACCCGUUCAUUUUGUGGUCUGCAAAUUGAACUGUGACGGUAACUUAUCCAGCAUUAUAGUGCUGGUGCAUUGGUUAAAAAUAAAGUUGGCUUUGACUAUU